rnacentral:rRNA from 1 species
GACUAACGCUGGCGGCGUGCCUAAUACAUGCAAGUCGAACGGGAUUCUUUGAUCAGCUUGCUGAGAGAAGGAUCUAGCGGCGGACGGGUGAGUAACGCGUGGGAAUCUGCCUCUUACUGGGGGAUAACAGUGGGAAACUACUGCUAAUACCGCAUAAGAUCUUCGGAUGAAAGGUGCAACUGCACCGGUAAGAGAUGAGCCCGCGUCCCAUUAGCUAGUUGGUGAGGUAAAGGCUCACCAAGGCGACGAUGGGUAGCCGGCCUGAGAGGGUGAACGGCCACACUGGGACUGAGACACGGCCCAGACUCCUACGGGAGGCAGCAGUAGGGAAUCUUCCGCAAUGGGCGCAAGCCUGACGGAGCGACGCCGCGUGAGUGAUGAAGGCCUUCGGGUCGUAAAGCUCUGUUCUUGAGGACGAAUAAGCCAGGGAGUGGAAAGCCCUGGUGAUGACUGUACUCAAGGAGAAAGCUCCGGCUAACUACGUGCCAGCAGCCGCGGUAAUACGUAGGGAGCUAGCGUUGUCCGGAAUUACUGGGUGUAAAGGGCGCGCAGGCGGUUUCAUAAGUCAGGUGUGAAAGCCCGGGGCUCAACUCCGGAUAUGCACUUGAAACUGUGAGACUAGAGUGUGAGAGAGG